GAAAAACGCCAAAAGACCAAUGUAUUGCAAGGGUCCACCAUUGGAUGUCCACAGAAAAAUCAUUCUUGUUUGUCCUUUGUUUUUUUGUUUUUGUUUUUUGUCUUUCGUUCGGAGUUUUUUGGGAGUGUUGUUGUGAUGGAUGAUGAUUCGGUGAGAAAUAGGUCUUGAUACUUAAAAAGGUAUAAAUAGUAUUGAAUAUGUUGUCUUUA
rnacentral:ribozyme from 1 species